rnacentral:rRNA from 1 species
UACAGAGUCUCAAGCGUUGUUCGGAUUCAUUGGGCGUAAAGGGUGUGUAGGUGGCGCCGUAAGUCGGGUGUGAAAUUUCGGAGCUUAACUCCGAAACUGCAUUCGAUACUGCGGUGCUUGAGGACUGGAGAGGAGACUGGAAUUCGAUGGUGUAGCAGUGAAAUGCGUAGAGAUCAUGAGGAAGACCAGUGGCGAAGGCGGGUCUCUGGACAGUUCCUGACACUGAGACACGAAGGCCAGGGGAGCAAACGGG